GCCCUGGUAGCUCAAUUGGUUAGAGCGUGGGACUUUUAUAGGCAUUUCGGGGGUCAAACCCGGAAACGUGCCACAUAGACAUCCCAAGGCUGCGGGUUCGACCCCCGCCUGGGGCG
rnacentral:tRNA from 1 species